AUGUCACCUACCUACUACAUCUACCGCUCAAACAGAAUGUCACCUAUCUACUACACCUACCGCUCAGACAAAAUGUCACCUACCUACUACACCUACCGCUUAGACAAAAUGUCACCUAUUUACUACACCUACCGCUCAGACAAAAUGUCACCUACCUACUACACCUACCGCUCAAACAAAAUGUCACCUACCUACUACACCUACCGCUCCAACAAAAUGUCACCUACCUACUACACCUACUCUCAAAUAAAAUGUUACCUACCUACUAUACCUACCGCUCCAACAAAAUGUCACCUACCUACUACACCUACCUCUCAAAUAAAAUGUUACCUACCUACUAUACCUACCGCUCCAACAAAAUGUCACCUACCUACUACACCUACCGCUCCAACAAAAUGUCACCUAUCUACUACACCUACCGCUCCAACAAAAUGUCACCUAUCUACCUAUCUACUACACCUACCUACCUACCUAUCUACUACACCUACCGCUCCAACAAAAUGUUACCUAUCUACUACACCUACCGCUCAAACAAAAUGUAACCUACCUACUACACCUACCUCUCAAACAAAAUGUUACCUACCUACUACACCUACCGCUCCAACAAAAUGUCACCUACCUACUACACUUACCGCUCCAACAAAAUGUCACCUAUCUACCUAUCUACUACACCUACCGCUCAAACAAAAUGUCACCUACCUACUACACCUACCGCUCCAACAAAAUGUCACCUACCUACUACACCUACAGCUCCAACAAAAUGUCACCAAUCUACUACACCUACCGCUCCAACAAAAUGUCACCUAUCUACUACACCUACCGCUCCAACAAAAUGUCACCUAUCUACUACACCUACCGCUCCAACAAAAUGUCACGUACCUACUACACCUACCGCUCCAACAAAAUGUCACCUACCUACUACACCUACUGCUCAGACAAAAUGUCACCUAUCUACCUAUCUACUACACCUACCGCUCCAACAAAAUGUCACCUACCUACUACAGCUACCGCUCAUCAAAAUUUCACCUACCUACUACACCUACCGCUCAAACAAAAUGUCACCUAUGUACUACACCUACCGCUCAAACAAAAUGUCACCUAUGUACUACACCUACCGCCCCAACAAAAUAUCACCUACCUACUACACCUACCGCUCAAACAAAAUGUCACCUAUGUACUACACCUACCGCUCCAACAAAAUGUCACCUAUCUACAACACCUACCGCUCAAAAAAAAUGUCACCUACCUACGACACCUACCGCUCAAACAAUAUGUCAACUAGCUACUACACCUACCGCUCAAACAAUAUGUCACCUAUCUACUACACCUACCGCCCCAACAAAAUGUCACCUACCUACUACACCUACCUACCUAUCUACUACACCUACCGCUCAAACAAAAUGUCACCUACUACUACACCUACCGCUCAAACAAAAUGUCACCUAUGUACUACACCUACCGCCCCAACAAAAUAUCACCUACCUACUACACCUACCGCCCCAACAAAAUGUCACCUAUCUACUACACCUACCGCUCCAACAAAAUGUCACCUAUCUACCUAUCUACUACACCUACCUACCUAUCUACUACACCUACCGCUCCAACAAAAUGUCACCUAACUACUACACCUACCGCUCAAACAAAAUGUCACCUACCUACUACACCUACCUCUCAAACAAAAUGACACCUACCUACUACACCUACCGCUCCAACAAAAUGUCACCUACCUACUACACCUACCGCUCCAACAAAAUGUCACCUAUCUACCUAUCUACUACACCUACCGCUCAAACAAAAUGUCACCUACCUACUACACCUACCGCUCCAACAAAAUGUCACCUAUCUACCUAUCUACUACACCUACCACUCAAACAAAAUGUUACCUACCUACUACACCUACCGCUCCAACAAAAUGUCACCUACCUACUACACCUACCGCUCAAACAAAAUGUCACCUAUCUACUACACCUACCGCUCCAACAAAAUGUCACCUAUCUACCUAUCUACUACACCUACCUACCUACCUAUCUACUACACCUACCGCUCCAACAAAANNNNNNNNNNNNNNNNNNNNNNNNNNNNNNNNNNNNNNNNNNNNNNNNNNNNNNNNNNNNNNNNNNNNNNNNNNNNNNNNNNNNNNNNNNNNNNNNNNNNAUAUGGUGUAUAUAUGGUGUAUCUGUUAUAAUACUAUAUGGUGUAUGUAUGGUGUAUCUGUUAUAA
rnacentral:lncRNA from 8 species